rnacentral:lncRNA from 1 species
AGGUUUAUGGUUUAGAGGAAACAACACGGUUAAAGUUUUAGGUUUGAAAUUUAGAGUUUGUGGCGAAAUUGUCAGGGUUUAGGAAAAAUCAGGGUAGUUAGUUAUGAAAAAAAAUGUGCAGAUCUAAAUAUAUGUAUAUAAAAAAAAUAUGAAUAAAAAAAAACAACGGCGUUGCUAGCGCAAAAUUGCGAUCAUCGCAACUGGAUCGGAUAACACAAAUGUCACGCCUCAUACACGUAUAUGUGAAAACGGCGUAUUGACACGAUCCGAUCCGAAAACAUAAUCAAAUUAUAACAUAAAAUAGAAAUAUAUAUAUAUUUAACCAAA